GACCGUGUAGCUCAGUUGGCAGAGCAUUGGGCUAGUAUUCCAAAGGUCGUAGGUUCGAAUCCCACUGUGGCCA